rnacentral:sRNA from 1 species
CAGUCCUGCUACAAGGCCUAUGAGUACAUGGGCUUCAUCAUGGAGAAGGAGCAGUCCUACAAGGAUGCAGUCACCAACUACAAACUGGCCUGGAAGUACAGUCAUCACACCAACCCUGCCAUUGGUUUCAAACUUGCUUUCAACUACCUGAAGGACAAGAAAUUUGUGGAGGCCAUCGAAAUCUGCAACGAUGUAAGCCAGCAGCCUUAGUGGGGAGGGCCUGGUGUAGUGGUGGGGAGCCCUGCCUGAUACUGCACACCCAUUCUCUCUCUGUUCCAGGUCCUCAGGGAGCACCCCAACUACCCCAAGAUCAGGGAGGAAAUUUUGGAAAAGGCCCGAAGGUCCUUGAGGCCCUAGCUGGGGUCAAGGGGCCUGGACCCGUAGAAGCCAUCAACCUAUUGAAGUUGUGUGGAGGGAUGGAAAGUGGGUCAGUGGAGAAAGGAUUCAGAAAAUGACACAUUCUUCCCCAUUU